rnacentral:tRNA from 1 species
GGGGCUGUAGCUCAGUUGGCUAGAGCGCUUGAAUGGCAUUCAAGAGGUCAGGGGUUCAAUUCCCCUUAGCUCCA